rnacentral:lncRNA from 1 species
UGUCGUUUGUUAUUUGCUUGUUUUUCGUGUGAGUAUAUGCUUGAAACAUUGAGGACAAUGUUUGAUUUAAGUGUGGGGGGGGUAACCAUUGUUUUGCAUGAAAUUCGUAGAAAUUUAUCACCCAUUACUUCUAGUGUUGUUCCUUGUUGUUUUAAGUAUUUUUAAGCUGUUUUGGAGUGUUUUAGUGUGUUUUGACAUAAAAAUCCGAAAAUUCAUAAAAAUUUGAAAAAUUGUUUUUGAAAAUCCCAAAAAGAGUUGUUUUUGUGUGCUUAUUUGUGUCUUAGGGUAUCUUCCAACACAAUGAUGAGGAUUCGGUUUGUAAUUACAUGACUGUUAAAGAGAGUUAUAAACAUGGAUGAAAGUUUGAUUUACUCUUUAUUUAUGCGUGGUUGUGGUUAUAACUUAUGAAAUCACAUGUAAUUAUAAAAGAAAAAAAUUAGUUUUUGUAACAUGCUUGAAGGAAAGAACUCAAACUAACGCUACAACCUUGUGAGACUUGAGCCUAAACGUUAUUUGGAGAGUUGAUAAUCUGUGCAUUAUUGUUUUCUA